rnacentral:rRNA from 1 species
UACAGAGGGUGCGAGCGUUAUGCGGAAUCACUGGGCUUAAAGCGUGUGUAGGUGGAUCGUUAAGUACCUUGUGAAAUCCCACGGCUUAACCGUGGAACUGCUUGGUAUACUGGCGGUCUUGAGCCAGCUAGGGGCUACCGGAACAAAUGGUGGAGCGGUGAAAUGCGUAGAUAUCAUUUGGAACGCCAAUGGUGAAAACAGGUGGCUGGGGCUGUACUGACACUGAGACACGAAAGCCAGGGGAGCAAACGGG